rnacentral:rRNA from 1 species
AAUGGGCGAAAGCCUGAUCCAGCCAUCCCGCGUGAGUGAUGAAGGCUCUAGGGUCGUAAAGCUCUGUGGAGAGAGACGAACGGUAAGGAACAAUACCCUUUGCCCUGACGGUAUCUCUUUAGCAAGCACCGGCUAACUCCGUGCCAGCAGCCGCGGUAAUACGGAGGGUGCAAACGUUGCUCGGAAUCAUUGGGCGUAAAGCGCGCGUAGGCGGCUAGAUUAGUCGGAUGUGAAAGCCCUCGGCUUAACCGGGGAAGUGCAUUCGAAACUGUCUAGCUUGAGUAUGGGAGAGGGUUGCGGAAUUCCCGGUGUAGAGGUGAAAUUCGUAGAUAUCGGGAGGAACACCAGAGGCGAAGGCGGCAGCCUGGACCAAUACUGACGCUGAGGUGCGAAAGCGUGGGGAGCAAACAGGAUU